rnacentral:snoRNA from 1 species
UUGCAGCCAGUUCAGCCGACUGUGCUCUUUUCCCCAUGGGGGCCCAGUGCGCAAAAGCCUCCUCGGUAGUGUAUACGGCCUGUUGCCUGUAUGGGUUGCCCUAAGGGACCCUGGAGACAGCC